GAGGAAUCCACAUCCUCACUGUCAUCUGCGAUUAUAUGUGAGACAUCAGAAUAUUUCUGUGGCUUGACCAGCCCAGCACAGAGGAGCCGAUAUGGAUCUUUCCGGCCACCUCUGCCAACUGCUGUUCGGUCUGGAGACUAGUGGAAGGAGGAUACAGCAGCCACUGGGAGUUGCAGCCCUUCCCUGUCUGGGCCUGCUGCUUCAGAUACAGCAGUGCAAGAGACUGCAGUGUCAGCCAGAGAUGGUAACCCACCUGACACAGAGUCUCCUGGUCCGGGAGUCAAUAUGGGGUUUUUGGACCGUCUCUGCCAAAGACUGACUCAGACUAUUGGAUGGACACCUUUCCGAACGGACAGGACAGAUCUGGGCUCCAACCAGCCAGGCCCCACUGACUCUUCUGUCCCAGGAAGUUCCAUCCCAGUCCACACAGGAUCAUUCAGUGCCUCAUUUUCCUAGCUUCAUAAUGGGGCUAACAAGACUCACAACCUUCACUGGGGUCUGGAAG